GACCCAAUAGCACAAUGGUUAGUGUGCCCGCUAUUGGUGAGAGCCGAGGAUUACUCAGCGAGAGGUCCCCGUUCGAUUCGGGGUUGGGUCA